GAAAGGCAAGAGAUUUAAUCGAUCGUUUAUUUGGACCGAAAUGUCACAAACAAUUUCCAAAGACAUAUCGCACACCAGACAAUAUGUGCAGUGGUUCUGGUACUUACCCAUCUAGUUUAGGGAAAGGCCGAGAAUAUAGUAUAGAUGGCGUGGACGUUCUCAUACAACGAGGACAAUCAGUUGUGGCACCUUUUCCAGGACAUAUUCGAUUGUCACCCAAUAAUAGCAAUGAAGUUAUACUCAAGCCUACAGGAGGGUCUUUGAAAGACAUUGAAAUUAUUAUAACCAACGUAAAUCCACUUGCAGAAAUCGAGGCAGAGGAAACACUGAUUCAAGCAGGUUCUGAAAUAGGUAAGGCGAGUGGUGCAGUUUGCGAGAAAAACAACGACCACAUCCAUUU